rnacentral:sRNA from 1 species
CUUCCUCGAUCUGCUGCGGGCAGACGAAAUGAAUAUGCGCGUCGAUGCCGCCGGCGGUCAGAAUCUGGCCCUCGCCGGCGAUGAUUUCCGUGCCCGGCCCGAUCACGAUCUCGACGCCGUCCAUGACGUCCGGAUUGCCGGCCUUGCCGAUGCCGGAUAUACGGCCGGCCGAGAUGCCGACAUCGGCCUUCACGAUGCCCCACCAGUCGAGGAUCACCACAUUGGUGAUCACCGUAUCGGCGGCGACAUCGUUCCCGUGCUGGCUCUGCCCCAUGCCGUCACGCACG